AAAAAAAAACCCUUCCAUUGUAGGUUUACUUUGUUUUUAGAUUUAGAUCAUGGUAAACAUAUAAACAAGUAUGUUUUUGCUAACAUAAUGUAAUGUGACAUAUGUCAUGUGACAUACUCUGUAGUUAAAACGACUCAAGCAGCAGUCUCCUGAGUGAAAGUCCUCUGUUUGUUUGGCCCAUCCACCCCCACUUCUUACCUUCUACGAUACGUUGACUUUCUCGCUUUCACAUCAGUUGCUUUGAGCGUCUAAUAAUGACACAGGUUGGUGUCUCAAAUAAACGCUAAAGGGUGCAUCAGCGUAUCGGUAGAUGGUGCCACAACCCAGUCUCACUCCAAAGUCAACAAAAUCCGUCACUUGGGCAGUGACUUACAGCGUCAGACACAGACGAAAAAAGCUAUCCUUUAACAUCGGCAUGAUAUGCAGGUGGUCGCUGUUGUAGUUUAACAGCGCUCGGUGGCGUCGGGGGAAACGUGUCGGGACAAGAACGAAAAUACAACAGCAAAAGUGAAAGUGGGGUGGGUGGGUCCAACAAACACCCACUUUCACCUGGAGAGCAGUGUUCGCAUCCUGUGAGAUUAUAAAGCUUAACCCUGAUCAUUUUUCCUAAACCUACCUAUGUGCAUUUGUUGUGCUGUUGUACCGACGUAGUGUGUUUAUUUUGAAAGAUGACAAUGCAUGUAAAAGGCAGACCAUGACACGGUGUCCCAGAACGUCAACGCCCACCCUUGGUACUUUGCACGUUGUAUCUGGACGUGGAAAGUCCAUGACCAAACAUCAAUUUGUGACAAGGUCAGAGUGAGAAUGUGUUGGAUGCCAAGGGCCACUGCCCAAGUGAAGGUAUUUGAUGAGUUGUGAGUGAGAACGACCUGUAUUAGAUUGUCACUCUUCAUAAAGGAAUCCUCACAUGUCCAAAACAGCAGUGGGUUUAUAAACUCCCUUGAAUUAAAGUCUGAGAUUCUGUUUACACUUGAUUUUAAAUGAUCCCAACACCAGUGGACAGCUGAGACACAUUGCUGGUCACACCUGUGUUUACUGUAUCCUGUGUCUCCAACUGCCCGCUUGCGUUCAGAUUUUGUUAUUGCCUAUGUCACCUUUGCUAGAAGGUCAAAGGCCCCCGUCCACAAUUAUUACAUCCACACUCUCACCAGUCAUGUAAGUGAUUGUGUCAGUACAGCUGGAGAUUUCACUGUCAUCAGUAUCCAGAAUCCAAUGCGGCAAAGUGAUGGACGGUCAAGCAACUUCAUCCAUCUUGUCAUGAUACGGGGAUGUUGUAGAGUGCUGGGUGCUGUCACCAAAAUAACCACCACGUCCUGCAUUGAUGACAUAUUUUCCUGCUCCUAUAGGAUGCAUCUGGACACAUUAGCAUUAAACAAGGAAAAAUAUGUGGUCAAAUGUGUCCAGGUCAACCUCAGCAAGGGGUGUGAGUGAUUGGAUCACAAUGCAUCUUGGUGGUCGCCAAAGACACAUUUUAAAACCAAGUGUAAACAGAAUUAUAGUUAUAUGUAAUUAUUUUAAAUUCAAUUCCUCUACCAAGCAUGGUCUACGUGAAAGAAUGAUGGCAUGAUAUAGUAUUUAUCUUCCUGUGGCUCACUGGUUGGCUGCCUGUUUAUUCAUGCGUUAAACCAAGCAUUUCCAAUGAAUUUGCCAAUGGGGUUUAUGCUUUCCUUUUAACCGCUGACCUGGGGAGCGACACAUCAACAGCUCCAUCCUCAUGUGAUCCCAAGGUGGACAGUUCCAGCAAGGUGCAUCAUACUGCCACCUCUUGAUCAGUGGAAUAGUGCACAACCGUUGAUAGCAGCAGAAAGUUUCAGGUCCUCUGAAAGUCUACAGGACUUAUUUCCACCCUGCCCAGCAGCGGUACCGUGGCGAACGGUCCCUAACUGCGGGGAGAACGAGCCAGGCUUCCCCGGAGGUCCGCCGCUUAAUCCGGUCCGUCUCCUCCACACUUUGACUUAUUUCCACGCUGCCGACAGUGGGACUUAUAUUCAUUGUGCCGACAGUGGCUUGGAAAACCGCCUAUAACCAUGUCACACGGGGAAGAGGGAAGAGGGAAGGCGACUGGAGUUCCUCCAACAUAUGGUUAGAUUAUCAUUUUUUUUAUUGACAAAAAUAUAGGCUGCUUCGGAUGAUUUUUUUUAUGCGCACAUGUGCUCCUAAAUAUUUUUUACACUUCGCACACACCUAUUUUUAGUCGCAAAUGUGAGUGAAACGCUCGCACUGUCGAGCCCUGGUAUAUUACAGAUUCCACACCAUACUGUACAUCUGCAAACUAGAUUUGCUAUAAUCUCUGCUGUGAGCGUGUUUGAUUGUUGACAGAGGACACAAGGAAACUUACUCAUCUUUCCAUGGCUUUAUUAAGUAUCAGUAUAAUGAGGCAGCCCAUAGAUAAAGUCUUUCCCUGAUAAAUCUAUUUGCUAAAUGUGAAAUUCAUUUAUCAGAGAGAUGCCUCAAUGUGAAUUACUGUAGAUAACACUAAUAUUGUAAAUAAGAUAAGGGGUAAUAUGAUUCAGUGUACAUUUACUACAUGAUAUCGGUCUCUGUUUGAUGAGGUGCUACGUCCUUGAAAAAGAAAAAAACACACAAUAUCAUAAAUAUUAAACUAUUGUACCUGCAAUGUUACCCAGCGGCCAAUUAACCCAGCAUAUACACUUGCAUGGUUGUAUACUUUGAAAAGAAGAAUGGCUCAGAGACAGAUGGUUUCUAUGUUGUGCUAAAUAUAAAUUUAAUUUGUGGCUAAUUGUACAUGUUGGGGAAAUAAAUGAUUUUUCAUUUGAUCGCACAGUUCUGAGAGAUGUACGCCUCCACACACAUCACAGCAUCUUUCCUAUACAGUAAAAGUAGCUUCAAAGAAAUAUUGCAUUGUUGUUCAGUGCACUGCCAUGAAUUAUUCUUCAUUUUGUACAGUAUACAAUACGCCAUUACCGUUAGAUGUUUUUUAAUAUCACAGUUUUGAUGUCUCCACAUAUAGAUGAAACAUAGUCUGUAAUUCUCCCCUUAUAUUAAUAUUCUUAUUACCUGCUAACAGCUUUACCCAUUAGGAACAAUUAGUAGAAUAUGAGUGACCAGUUGUAACAAAUGCAUUUUUAGGUGGGAUUAUGGCCAACUUUGGAGUCAUCACAGAAUGGAUAGAGAGUUAAAAUUCAAUCUAUCAAACAUUUAUUAUUUUCCUUCAUUGUCUUCUUAGAUCAUUGGCUGCUGCUUUAUACUUGUCCACAUUUCCGGAUGGUUUUGGUAUUCCAUGGCUUCUGGUUCGGGAAUGAUUUAACUGUGCACUUAUCCCAAACGCAACAAGAUAGUCACAUGGUCACUCCCCUUGAACAUAGACAACGCCACUCUGUAGCCGCUUUCAAAUGGCAUAUAGCACUGACCCACAGAAGGAACAGGACAGCACCUCACAUUCCCACCAUCACACCAGUCCUUGUUCAUCAUAAAGGACUUGCCUCCUCUCCAUCUCUCACUGUCCUCUGCUCUGCCAGAAUGGUGUACAGAAAAAGAGUCACCUAAUUGAAUGGCGCUGUCCAGGAUUUAUCCAAGUUCUGGUCCAGGUCUUGGUGUUAGUCGGCAGAUUUUAGAAUUAGUGUACAAAACUAUGGUUGAGAGUGUUUUAACUUUUUGCCAUCCACCAUUGGUAUGGUCAUCUUAAAUAUGUCCAAGAAUAAACUUAAUAAGGAUCGUGACUACAGCUAGUAAAACAGUUGGCCAGCCACAAAAGCCAGUGACCCAGCUCUUUACAGAAAGGACGAGGAAGAAGCUAAGAGCAUCUUGGCAGAUAGCCCCCAGUCUCUCUCUAGCCAGUUUGAGCUCUUGAGCUCUAGGAGGAACUAUAAAGUCCCUCUGGCAACUAAAAAUGUUUUUAAGCAGUCCUUCAUCCCAAGUUUUAAACCACAGGCAGACAAUGAGCUGAUUUAAUGUCUUUAAGUGUUUUGUAAUGACUUUAUAUGUUUGUCUCCCUGACUGUUUGUCUGCUUUGUACAAUGCUGUCUUUUGUGUUUGCUGAACUGAAGACAAAUUCCCACCCAUGUUGGACAAUAAAGAUCUAUAAAUACUAUUCUAUUCUAAUCGUGGCUAUUACAUUUCCUCAUGUCACAUUAGAAAGUGACACAGCACACAGAUCGUCCAGUUUAUUUUCCGGUGCUUGUACAAUGGCCAGCAGGAUGCCAGUUCAUUAGAUUAUCCAUGUUUGUUGAAUAUUCAUUAUUUAGGGAAAAAAAAGCAUACUGUUUUAUAUUUGCAUUGAACAUCUGCUACAAACAACAGACUGUAUGUUGUUUAUGUAGAACAGAUGGCAAAAUUAAAUUUAAUGCUCAAAAAUGGCACAUUGGUCCUAAUUGGCAAAAUGUGACACAAAAUCAUUGUUUAAUAUUAGAAUUACUUUUCAGCUCCACAAAUUAAAGAGGGGUGCAGGACUGAAUCCUAAAACCAAGACAUGAGUUUGCAUUUUUGUACUUUGGUACUUCACUUAUGUCAAAAUCAACAGGUUUUGGGCUUUUGGUUAGAUGCCUGAAAGAAGGUCUGAGGUUAACACAAGCUGCAGAGACUUUCACUUUUUUUUUCUUCAACAUAAAAUACAACCACACUUGUGAAUUUUAAAACUCUUGCAUGGGCAGUUCUAAUAGCAAGUAGUUGAAUGACGUCAGAACGUCAUUAUGCCAACACUGCCUUAAGAACCUUGUUUUGGUGGCGACAUCAAUGUCAUACAACAAUAAAGAAGUGCGUUUACAUCCUAACACUAGCUUUUUACUUCUGGCGAUUGCAUUUAUGAUUAAAAAAAUUAUGAAAGUGGUGUUCAUAUGUGAUUUGUGAUAGAUUUUUAUGGAAAAAUUCCACUGGCUUUUUGAUGAAAAAAAACAGGGAGAUGUGGGUAAAAUAAAUAAACAAAUACAUAAAUGAACAUCAUUUCUGUUGCACUCUAUAACUAUCUACAAUCCAUUUUCAGUGGUAAAUGUUUGUUUUUAGUGUCAGUAUCUCAGAAUCGAAGAGGAAAAAAAAAUCUCCAGUCCAGGAAGAGAUCCACUUUUUUUCUUUUACCUUAGUUGGCCUUUAUACAAGCAUGCAAGAAUACUUCCAUCCACAACCCUCUCAGCUCUACCUGCCUUAAUCACUCUGCUUGGUCAGUCCUAAAAAUGAGAAAUAAAAACCUACAGCUCAUGUGUAAUUGCACGACACAGCUGAGCUAUAAAGACUUCAUGAAGCACUUCAGCUUGGGUCGCACACCAAAGAUCCCGGUCCUAAUCCUGAGUCAGUUUAGAGCCGAGGUGUUCACAGUGCAUCACAAAUAAUUUCUUUGUUUGUACUUUGAACGAGCGGGCACAGAACACCGCAGCAUUGAUCCCUCCUUGUAUUACCUAUUUUUCUCAACUGGAAAAAGCUAUUGCCUUCGUGAUUACUCUCUGAACCUGUUCAGUACAGAGAGGCCCCUUCUGCGAGGCCAUUGAAAGUCACUGUGGGAAACGUAGGAAAUCACUGACUGGAGCAAAAGUAGACCAAACAGUCUGAGGGGAAAAUAGGUUCACAAAAAGGGAAAAAAAAAAAUACAGCACUUGUCAUAAUAACUACCAGCAACACAGUGGACACCACCAACUGAUGAUUGAACUGAACUGUGGUAAGAUUAUAUUUCUUCUAAAGGAGAAAUGCAAUUAAGUCGUUGACCUUGAUGGAAAAUAGCUGCUUGAGUUCGCACAACUAUAAACUCUCAAAACUGGGACACAGCGUUACAGAAGGAGGCUAAAAUCAAAUCAGCUGGUUAGUACAAGUGUAUCUGUCUUAAAGCAAUGCACCUUAUUAAUCCAGAUUUUAACAUUUAUCUGUUUAUAUGUUAAUCUGGAUCCCCUAUUAGAUGCUACCAGGAUAUAGGAAAUAUUCAUCCUGGGGUCCACACAUAAAAACAACACCAACAUGCAACAUACAUGACCAUUCAAUAACGUAAAAUAUAUAUGUCACACAGAAUACCCACAUUUCCCUUACCCCCACAACCCCCAGCCUCAGGGGAAAAUCGCACCAACCUCAGUAAUAAUAACUUGUACAAUAAACAGAGAAAACAGCGAUCAUAGCAACAAACAAAGAGAAAAAAAAGGAAUAGAAUGAAACAAAACUGUUUCCACCAGGAAGGACGGCACUCAGCGGAGCAAAGAAAAACAAUCAGAAAAGAAUAAACAGACAAAAAAAGAUCCGUAGAAAGACUCACAGUGAGAUAACAACAGAACCAAGAGACGACAGUUGACAAGUUACUCAUUUCAUAAAUUAUCUUAACCGUCUUAUUGAUUGAAAGAUUUAUUCUUUUAACCACCAAAUAAGUGUGAAAAAAAAGAAAAAAGAAAAGGACUUGGUAGAACUAUUAGCCUUGAAGUCAUGACUGGAGGAUGAAAAGAGAUGAAACCUAAUACCUUCAAUUAACUAUAACAAGCACACACGAACAGCAUUGAGCUUCCAAAUGUAUUCCCUUCUCUAAUUUAUUUCCUCAUUUAAUCCUUAUUCGUCUUUACUGGAUGAACAUUAGUUGGGGAAUCAGUUUUGACAUGCUAUCGUGGUUUAAAGCCCACAUUUGUAGGAUUUGAAAACUUCUGACUUUGGGGACUCCGACUGGUAUAGUACCAAAACAACACUGCUUAUGAAAGAAAUGAAUGAUGCAUAUACAUUUCAUUUAUCGGGAUUGUCUUGUUUUUUCAAAAAUGAAUACUAAAUAAAUGUUUCCAUGGGGGAACAAGGCUGAUGAGAUCAGUGAGAGUGAAACAAAACAUGAUGCAAGAAAACCAAAACAACAAAUUAAAGACAGCUACAAUGCUGCUGCUUUCAAAUGUAUACACUUAAGGCCUUUGACAGAAUACUACACUCUCCAAAUGACAAUACUACUACAUGUUUUGUUUUCCUCUGCGAACGAAGAAUCCAAAAGCUGUGACCAUUUUGAUAAAUGUAAGUCACUGGGGUCUGUUUUUAAUUACAGCAAAAACUAUAUCAAAACUUAAGUUUACAAACUCUCACACAGCUUGUGCAGUUUAAUCCAGGUCUCAUUCAUCCAGUCAUAUGCCCAGUGCUUCCCAAAAACUUAUCUACACUCUCCUCAAAGCCAGACUCCACUGACAAAACCAGUAAUAUUACCUCGCUGAACAUGGGAGCUGCUAGUCUAUCACUGCCAUGGUCUGUUAGAUUGUUUAUUACUGUGUGACUGUGGUGAACCUAAACCAAAGUACCACAAUAACACAAGCAAACUAACCAACACAUUCUCACUCCGACCUUGUCAUAUAUCAUCGUUUGGCCAUGGACUUUCCAAGUCCAGGUAGGACGUGAAAGGUACCCUGGGUGCGUUGGUUGUUGGUGACAUGUGGUCUCAUGUCUGUUAUAUGCAUUGUCUUCUUUCAAAAUACAUAUUCGUUUUCACAGGAAAUUUACCAUUUACAUACAGUCUCUUUCAAAAUAAAUGCUCUUCAUCUUUAAAACACCCCAAACUGAUUUUUUUUUUUGCCUUCAACAACUAACCCAUCACGACCCCUCCCACCUGCCCUAGUCGGAUAUAAGUCGUCUUAACUUUCAUUCUUUGCCCCUGACGCCACCGAGCACCAUUAAACUACAGUGGCAACAGGUCAUGUAUCAUGUCAACAUUUAAGGAUGGCUUUUUUGUCGUGUCUGAUACUGCAAGUCAUUGCCCAAGUGCCAGAUUUCGAUGACUUUGUAAUGAGACCAGAUUGAAGCGGCAGCGGUAGAUUAGUUGCUCCAUAGUUCAGCUAGACAAAUUACUAUUUUGUCAACAGAGCCUGGCUUUGAUACUAUAAAACCUCUAUUAAAUGCCAAGUCACUUUUACUAGCCCAGUAUGGCUACACAUUUUGACAAAUAAAGGCCUGUCUCAAUGAGACGCCUGGUCUGGUUGCCAAGCAGUUCUUUGGAUGUAUAAAACCAGGUAGUUGGCCAUCUCAAAUUAUGUGUCCAUUCCACAAUUACCCUGUAAGUUAUUCAUAUUCCUUUAGUCUGUAAGAUCCUCAGAUCAAAGGGAAUAAAAGGGUUUUUCAUAAAAAUGAAUCCAAGUCGUGAAUAUUGUUUUAACAGGAUAAGGUAGUGUUGUGUCAGUGUGUCAGUGUGCCUGGUGCCGUACUAAAUGCUGCCCCCUAUGACUUCAAAUCAUCAAGAAUUUUCACCAUUUUUGUAUUCUUUAUUCACAAUUCAACGUAACACAGGUGAGUAAUUGAUAUAGAAAUGGCUAUGUGAGGCAUGAAGUGUUUCUGAAAAAAGAAACAACUACAUGCAUCAUCACAAGCACUCACUGCUUUUAUAAUGAUGAGUCAUUUGUUCUUUAUAUGGAUAGAGAAAAUGACAAGAGCCAACAGAUUCUUAAUUUCUGUCGAUCUCCUUUCCUUUCUCUCGCUGUCCAGCUUUGUCUGUCUGGCUCCCUCUCAUUCUUCUCCCACAGCAGCUUCCCCCCGCUGCGUUGAUAACAACCUCCACAAAAUACCCUGUAGAAAACACAUCGUCCUUGAUCCGAGAUUGCAGCAUCCUCUAUGUUCAGGGGCAUUACUUCCUUUCCAGGAGACUUGGUUACAAAACAAGAGAGAGAUUACAGGGUGCUCUAUUGAUUCAUUGACAUAGCUUAGUCAGUCCAACCUUGGAUUUGUCUGAACUUAAAGGUGGAGCCUCGCACUCUGUGAAGACGCUCUGUGGGAAGACUGCACCUGUUGCUAAAAUGCCGACACAUGUUCACGGUAUUCUGUUUCCAAGAGAAAAAUACAAUCUCGCCUCCCUCAGUUGAAUUGUGGCUUUGACACGCGGCUGCUGGGUUGUUUGCACCUCAGCAAUAUUCAAAGUCAAGGGGAAUCAGAGAGAGGAGAUUUCAACAAUUCAUCAUGCAUUGCUGCACUUAUUUUGUGCAGAUCAACUGUGCUUUUGAGGAGAUCAAAUCAGCAAGGUAAACACUGAUGUCUAAAAGUUUACUUUACCCAGAAAUCAUUGCAUAUGGACUCAGAUUAUAAUCUCACCUACACCUUUCGAAGGAGGCGAACGGUAUAUGUGCUGCUGAUGGAGAUUAUACAAUGAUAUAUGUUGCGGUUCCAUUGCAAAUGCACUGUAAAUAAGCGAGCUGAGAUCACAUUUAAGUAAGCUGAUAAUCACUCCAUCAUUGCCAUGCUCACUAUCACAAAUGCACAGCUGGGCUCUACAGAAUCUUUAUUUUGAUUUAGCAGCAUUGCUUAGUUUAAUCUCUUUCGCAGCAUUCCCAUUCUCUCCAUUUUCUCUGCAUGCUGUGUUUUUAGUCGUUUGAUAUCAUUUUUGUUUGUUUUUCAUGAGGUGGGGUGGAUUAUAAGCACACAGCAGCAGUGCAGUGUGCCUUAGCUGCAGGCUGCACUUCUGAGUCAGGCCUGAGAGGUAGAAGCACCCCGCUACACUCCUCACUCUGUCAACAAUGCAGCCGAUCUCUGAACCACGACAUCUCUUUUUCCUCAGCUGUCUGCCCCCCUACAUGUUCUCUUUAAGUAUGCAGCACAACACUUUAGGUGUUUUCUUUGUGCCUGUAUUCAUAACGGGGAAGUUGACUGAGCAUGUAUUCUCUUUCAGCACCACCUGCACUCAUUUUCACUCAGUUACACCCCUGAGAGCUGCCCUGUAAAAUCAGUCUUCAACUGUUGCAGCAGCUCUGUGAGAAGAAAUGGGGAUUAUACGUUUCUCAAGGGCAUUUCAGGAGUGGCAUUACUCACUGUGCUCAUUGGGCUGUAUGGUUAGAGGCACUGUCCAUACUCUGCUUUUGAUAAAUGUUGAUCAAGAUGCCAUCUAACUUCAAUGCUCGGUCAAUGGCAUUCUCUCCGCAUUGCAACACCAGUGAGUUUAACUGUGAAACCAUGGCUUUCGUUAAGGACAUAGAUUUGGUGUCGUCAAUAGUAGCAAUUUUCUGUAAAUUUGGAGGAUUUAAUGACAUGAAAGAGUUUGGGUGUCAGGUUUUUUUAAGUUCCAGUGGAUCGUAUUCGGGAAAUAUUAACAUAAAUAGAAUAUAAUUCUCAGAACUGUGUUUUUAACUGUUUACAAUCACCUGAAAAUAAGAAUCAUUGUGUUUUUAUUACCUUAAAAUGAGCUAUUAAUAUCUACAUAUGGAGUGGGUCUUCCUCCAUGUAGUUGCCAUUAUAUUUUACAGACAAACCAACCCAGUCUUACUCCGAAGUCGUUGAAAUCCGACGCUUGGUCAGUGACUUCCUGUGGCAGACACAGACAAAAAAAACAAAAAAACAGCUGUCCUUUGACAUCGGCACGAUACGCAGCUGGUUGUUGUUAGUGUUUAACAGCACCCAGUGGUGUCAGGGGGAAACAUGGAAGGACAACAACAAAAGUUAAGGUGGCGGAAGUCAGAGUAGGAUGGGUGGGAGGGAAGGGUGGUGCAUGGGU